CAGAAACUAUCUCCUUAGCCAUUUCUUUAUGAUCUCCGGUCUUCAGGGACCUUGAAAGAUUGAUUUCCUCUCACUCAAGUUUCUUAUAAAAUUAGCUUUGGCUCAUACAUCUGUAACACAGUAGUUAAUUUUACAAGAUAAGCAGUACAGGGAAAAUGUAUCUGAGGGAAAAAUCGAGUGCUGGAAGCUCAAGAGACACUUAUAAGGUCACAGAACAAAGCUGUGGAUUGAAUACUGUUCCCUCCAAAUUGAUGUCCACCCAGAAGCUCAGAAAGUGAUCUCGUUUGGAAAUAAGAUCUUUGCAGAUGUAAUUAAGGGAAUUUUUGUUCUAAAAUAACCACAAGUCUGGAUGCACAAGACUAAAUUAACUGUUCCAAUUUAUAACAUCACAAUGAUAACUCAACCCCUCUCAUCUGUUCUGCAGGUGUUGAUCCUCAAUAAGCCACUUGCACAAAAUCUUCGUCUCAGAGUCUGUUGCCCAGAAAACCCAACCUAACACAGCUGGUGCCAGGAGUAGUUCAAGGAAGUAGACUCUAAAAUGAGAU